ensembl:lncRNA
AAAAGAAAAGAAAGGAAGUGAGACGGAAGGAGGGUCGAGAAGGACAAAGAGAGUGGGAGGGAGGGAGGAAGGAAGGGAAUCUUAUGUUCUAGAUUUUUAUCUACCAGGAGAUUCCAAGAUGGCAGAAUAGGGAAUGGUAUACUGCACUAGGCUAGGGAUAAAUAGAGGGAAAAAGAGUACAAGAAGUGCACUCUUCAGGGAGAAUGAGAGAGAAAACUAUACUGGAAAGUCUACAAAAGGAAAAGGAAGACCAUGGGCCUUUGUGGAAGGUGCAGAUGUGAAGAACAAACACGGACAUAAAACACAACUGCAGCAGCCAAGUGCAGGGAUUGGAUGGCAGCUUGGAGGUGGAGGAGCACUGGUGGGACCACAAUCAAAGCUACUUAAGGAAGACAUCACACAGAGCUUUUUGUCUUGGAGGAACAUGGAACAGAAGAGGAAGAAAGUAAAGGUAGAAUAA